rnacentral:rRNA from 1 species
AACGAACGCUGGCGGCAGGCUUAACACAUGCAAGUCGAGCGCCCCGCAAGGGGAGCGGCAGACGGGUGAGUAACGCGUGGGAAUCUACCCAUCUCUACGGAAUAACGCAUGGAAACGUGUGCUAAUACUGUAUACGUCCUUCGGGAGAGAGAUUUAUCGGAGAUGGAUGAGCCCGCGUUGGAUUAGCUAGUUGGUGGGGUAAAGGCCUACCAAGGCGACGAUCCAUAGCUGGUCUGAGAGGAUGAUCAGCCACACUGGGACUGAGACACGGCCCAGACUCCUACGGGAGGCAGCAGUGGGGAAUAUUGGACAAUGGGCGCAAGCCUGAUCCAGCCAUGCCGCGUGAGUGAUGAAGGCCCUAGGGUUGUAAAGCUCUUUCACCGGUGAAGAUAAUGACGGUAACCGGAGAAGAAGCCCCGGCUAACUUCGUGCCAGCCGCCGCAGUAACAC